CAAAGCAAAGUUUGCAAACAUUUUGCAGUAUUUUUUUUUUCAGUUUGACAGGAUUGGGAAAAAAAUGUGGUGUAGAAGUAGCUGAGCAUCAUCUCCAACACAUAAUAUGAGUGUGCAUGGUGUUGAUUUUUGCGUAAAAGCCUGUCAUUAAUUCUUGGGAGUCAAUCCUUUUUGGUCUGUUAGCAAAAUAUCUAAUUUUUGCUGUAUUUUGAGUUUGCUUAUUUUGAGAUCAUGUGGUCUGAUUGAGAAUCAUUUACCAGCUGCGCUAAAUAGAAACUAAAAUGUCCUGGUGUUACAAUGUAUAUGCACUUGUAUUUAUGCUAAAGUCUUCAGAAUUUUAAGGUUUUCUCAGCUCAAACAGAAAAACAGAGAAAUCUGCAGACAUAUAGGCGAGGGAACGUCAACAUCAAUAAGAAUUACUGCAGUCAGCAUGAUAUCAUCCGCUUAGUUCUUCACUGACAAUUUGUAUUAAUGUCUGUCCUUGUUUUUCCCUCCCACACAAAAUGUUUCUUCAGCAGACUCCCCAUGGUGACUGUUUAAUCAAGAUGACAAGCAGCUUGAAAACAUAUUCUAAUUGGAUCCAAGGAUGAGUCCUAUCUGGUUUCUGUUGAUGCGUCUGUGUUUCUUUGGUGUUUUUGCACUUAUGUAUACCAAUCUGGCUGUGUGGAGAGAAAAGAUGAAAACAACUGCAGGCUAACAUCCAUUAGUGCUGGCAGGCAGGCUAUUGAGAUGAAUGUGCUCCAAUUUUCACCACCCCUCCGAGUGCCUUGCUAAAUCUCGCCGUACAGGGCGGGGGACUGCGACGCGAGAGUUGGAGCUGUCCCAACGUUGCCUGGACUGUCACAGUGGCGCUGCAAUCCCUACCUGUGGGUGGAAUACCAAAAAAACACCUGUGAGUGUGCUUUUAUGAAUUUAUAUAUAUAAAUAGUUCCACAAACAAC